UGUCAGUGUGUGAAGGAAAAAGCAGACCUGGGGCCCACGUGCCCAUGAGACACACGAUGCUUAGGGCUCACGAUACUUGUGGGCCCACCAAAGUUUUAAUUAAAGUAAAACGCGUGUAAUAACGAAUAGAUAAUGAAGCCAGCCUAGAUAUUUGUUUUUCUACUAAAAGAGCCUUAAAAUAUCAAUUUUAAUAUAUAUUUUUUUAAUUUUUUGUUAACGUUUAUUUAUUUUUGAGACACAGAGAGACAGAGCAUGAAUGGGGGAGGGUCAGAGAGAGAAGGAGACACAGAAUCUGAAACGGGCUCCAGGCUCUGAGCGGUCAGCACAGAGCCCGACGCGGGGCUCGAACUCACGGACUGUGAGAUCAUGACCUGAGCCGAAGUCGGACGCUUAACCGACUGAGCCACCCAGGUGCCCCUAUAUGUUUUUUUUUUAAGGGAGGAAGGGGGUCCAUGAAAGCAAAGUAUCUCGGGCCCACGAAAAUCGUAACGCACCCCUGAGCAGAACAGCUAAGAGGAGCAGGGGGGCAAGAGAUUGAUUAUAGGGUCAGACCCUCUAUGACUGCGGAAGGUUGGUGGAGAGGUCUGAGCAAGCCUGGGCAGGUCUCUACAUGUGAAAUUGUACCUGAACACGCUGUCGGUCACAAGGUCAGCGUUUAGAAAGAAGAGCUGGCUGUGAGGCGGGGUUCUUCUCAACCAGGGGUGACCCCCCCACGCCGCCCCCCCAUUCAGAAGACUUUGGCAACGUCUGGAGGCAAUCCGGCCUGUCACAACUAGGGGAAAGUUGGCUCCUGGUAUCCAGGGGCGCCGCUAAACAUCCCACAAGGCACAGGACAGCCCCCGCACAACAAAGAAUCAUCCAGAAUUAUCAAAAACAGCAGUAGUGCUGAGGUUGAGCCACCUCGAGGUUAACGGCAGCUGCAGGGCCUGUUAGAACCCAUGUCUGUCUCUCUCCCACGACCACCAACUGUCACGCUGGGGGCAGGGCGACCUGCAGAGGGAUCAGACCCUUCGCCCCUGGAGCUAGGCUUGCACCUGGCCGAGGACUUGGAGAAGCCGAAGGAGAUCGGGCAGCUGGAGGCCUGGCCGCGGCCCGGAGCCACGACGUGGGCCAGCCGCUGACCAGAAACGCCCUGGAGCUGCGGCAGUGGUCGCUCCUGCGUCAACCUGCGGGCCCGCUACUUCACUGCAGCUGGGACCCGGGCGUGCAGGCGAUCCUGCUUCAACCAUACAGGGACAAACACAGCACAAGAUGGGAAGAUUCCGGGGUCCAGAGAAUCCUUACCUUAAGCACCUUUUUUUCUUAAGAAGUUCUGGGUGAGUAUGUUACUUAGGUUGUAGAUGAUAAAAGCCACCCGAAAUUCACUUGAUCCAAAAAGGGAGCGUAUUUGCUCACAUAAUUGGGAAGUCUGGGGUAAGAGUUUCAGGCAUAGCUGGAUCUAGGGGUUCAAGGGAUGUCAUUAGGCUCUCCAUCCCUCAACACUGGCUUUCUGCUGAAGUCCAAAGAAGAGGCCAUGGAGAGAUCCCAAGCUUAUAAUUUCCUUAUAGCUCAUGACCCAGGAGAAGACAGGAGCUCCUCUCUUUCAGUGUGUGUGUGUGUAUAUGUGUGUGUGUUUUAAUUUUUUAAAUGUGUAUUUUUGAGAGAGAGAGAGAGCACAAUUGGGGGAAGGGCAAGGAGGGGAACAGAGCAUCCGAAGUGGGCUCUGUGCCAACAGCAGAGAGCCUGAUGUGGGGCCUGAACUCACGAACCGUGAGAUCAUGACCUGAGCCAAAGUCGGACAUUCAAGCAACUGAGCCACCCAGGCGCCCCUCAUUGUGUAUUUUUAAUUAUGCAGAGCAAAUGCUGAACGGUCCCGCUGGGGUCACAGGCUCACCCCUGAACCACUUACCAUGAACCCCAGAAGAAAGGAGGUUGGAAUAAAUCUGUAAAAUCAGUAGCUGCUACA
ensembl:lncRNA